AUCCAGCUAACGAGUCUCAAAUAGAACGAAACGCGUUUCCUAGAU
rnacentral:hammerhead_ribozyme from 1 species